UAAAUCUCCAUUUUCUUCUUGUUGUUUUUGCAUCAUCCAUCUUGAUCGAUUAGUUUUGAAAAAAGAAAAACUUUGUGUUACACUUAGUUUUUUAUUCGUCUUGUAACUAGUCAUUGUUGUUAACCCUUUUUGAGGUCAAACCUUUUGUGUGGAAAGUCAUCUUGAGCCCUUGCAGUGGUUUCAAUAUCAAUUGUGGGUACUUAUAAAAUUGAGGAUGCUUGAUCCCAAAACUAAAGGUAUCACAGCAGAGUAUAACGACCAUUAGAUAUUAAAGAGGAAAUACAUAAAUCAGUAGUUCUGCAUUAGAUGGUAAUCAAUGCUUGAUCCCAAGAUUUAAAACAUAAAUGUUUUGACUUCUUGGAUAAGUUUUAAUGAAUUUGAGCUAGGUCCUCUAACUUUUUACUCUGUCUGGACUACUUAAUACCAAUGAGUUUAAAUCUAUAGAACAUGGAAAAAUUCUGAAUUAUUGAUUCAAGAUAUGUGGUUGAACCAUCUCUAGCCCUAUCUGAAAUUAAUUUCAUCCAGUUGAUGGUCCAGUUUCAAUGGAAUAAGUAUUUUAGAGAGUUGAUUCCCUGGAUUGGAACAAGCUUCUGGAUCAUCAGAGAUAUCUUUGGCGAGUUCAACUACUUCUUCACUUAUGUUGUUGUGGUAACCGCAAGAGAUAUUUCCGACGCAAGUAUGCUGAAAUUCGGAAAACUGGUUAUCUUGCUUCAUGUGCUGGGAUCAAUUUGCUUUGAUUUGAUCAUGGCUUGGCUAGAUGUUUUCCCCCUUAUGGCAAAGGGAGGGAUAGUUUAUGCAAUGGCAUCUGAGGAACUAUUCUAUUCUCUACCUGAAGUUCCCCGUACUCAAGCAUUAAGCCAAGGAGUUAUAUGGAGAGAGAAACAUUAAAGAACAGUCAACAUAAUUCCCGGUGACAUUUAAGAGUAAAAACUGUUUAACCUUUAUCUUUGGUACUUUUUCUAAUUUUCAAUUUCACUGAAUAUCAUUACUCAACAAUCUAAAAUUGAGAACCAUCAUCAUAACUAUACAAAUAUCAAAGAUAAUUUAUUAUUUAGAUCGGAAAGGGUAAAAAAAGUACACAUUGUGAAUAAUGCAAGUAAAUCUUUAACUCAAUGGUCGCCUAAAAUUACAUUAUAAUUGAUUCCUUCUCCUUAUAAUUACCAUGACCAUAGGAACUUACAUCUUGUUCACCAUCAUCUACCAGAUAAGCGUGUAUCUUGUGAAAUGGUACAAAUUCAGACAGGUGCUGAAAACUGAGGCUGCCUCCUCCAACAAACCUCGCAAGAAAACUACAGCAAUUAGUGCUCUAGCUAGCAUCCUGGUCAUGGGAGCUGGAUGCUUGUUUUUUGUAAAUCAUUUCUAUGUAAUUUACAACAGCAAAGAGGAGAACAAACCUAUAGCGUCUACACAUCAUGACCUGGAACCUCUAUAGUCUUUCAAGAAUAUCACCAAUCUUGUUCUAAUUGAUCCAGUUUCUUGGAACAAUGCAACUACAUCAUCCUCUACUCAGGCUUAAAAUUGAACAUAAUAUUCUUUUAUUAAGACCUCAGUUGGUAGAAUCAAACCUGCAAGAGAAACAAAAAUGAAAAAACAAAUCAUUUUCUUUUAAAUGUUUGUUUACAAAUGCUUCCAAAGUGUAGUUUUGUACAAAAUAAGAUUUGGUGCCAACCAAAUGAAAGUUUACACAUUGCAUGCAAAUAAUCAUUUUGUUAUGAAUGGCUCAUCUUAUUUGCACAUCUGCUGAUCAGUCCUUUUCUUUGGUUUGUGCAAACUUUUCAGGGGGGUUAUUACAUUUUGCAUGAGAAUUGCCAGUAACCAACAAUAGGAAAGAAUUGAAUUAAAAUUUACUUAGAUAUUAAAUCUUGGGAAUUUAAUGUUCAUGAGUAAAAUGCAAAUAACUUAAAUAGAAAUAAAAUGUACAAAUCUAAGUUUCUUGUUCAUAUUCAGCUUACUAACUCUUUCCUAAAAGCAAAAUAUCUAAGAAUCCUUUUCCUUUCAGAAAACAAUAACUUAAGAAGAAAUUUAACUCAUUUUUCGUAGCCUUACCCAAGCAGCCAAGUUAACAUGUUUGUCUUUAACAUUUCAUAUACAAAUUUGAAAAAAGUUAUCUAAAUUAACUACAAAAAACACAGGAAAGAAGUUGGAACUACCCUAUUUGCCUCCCAUUCCAGUUUGAUCAAAUGUUCAAAUUUUUUUUCUGCUGUUCUUUAGAAACUUGACUAUGCUACAAC